CUGUGAAUAAGAUCCCUAACCCCUUUUUCCAGCUGAAGAAAUUGAGGCACUGAAGAGGUAAGGUAAACUGGCCAAGCUCUCGGGGCUAGUGAGCCACAGAGCUGCAAUCAGACUCAGGGAGUCUGGCUCAAGUCCGCAAUGCCAGGCGCUACCUGGCAUUGCUGCCUUCCGCGUGGGAGAGACAAAGCCGAAGUUUCCGCAAGAAGGUACGAGUCUCAGCUGGUCUCUCUGCUUUGGCGGCGGCAGUGGAGAAGGAGCCCCGCGCACCCCGACCCCCAGACGCUCGGUCCACUGCUCCGCAGCCCGCUCACCUCCCGCCCUCUGCCCGGCACCCCAACCCGAGGGACGCACGCGCCCAUCCUGUGGCCGGGGCUUAGGGCCCGCCGCCCAACCCCACACGGAGCCACAGCCUUCCCCUGCGGAGUAGAGGAGGCGGGCACAGCGACCGCGCUGACCUCUCCCGCCGCCUGGCACCCGGGCAUUUCCCGGACCGGGGACCAGCUCCCGACGACGCGGGCUGCACAAGCCUACAGGCCGCCGCCGCAGAGCCGGGGGCUGCGCAUGCGCGUGGCGUGCGUGGCGUGCGUGGCGUGCGCGGCGGCGCGAGGUGCGCGGCCAGAGGCUGGAGGCGCUACCGGCCCGGGUGUUGUUGUGCGGUGAGCUCGGCGGGGCCUUGUCGUUGCGGGCGCGGGACCGUAAACAGCGACUUCUCCCCAAGUUCUGGGAGAGACUAGUUCCAGGCAGUCAAGUGUGGGAACGAACACUGGGCUCCGCGGCAAGGGAGCCGCAAAGGGGAGGACCUGAGACCCCACGAGCGCCGGUGGCCCCCAUGCAGAACAGCUGGGGCCCUCUCCCCGCCCUCCGUCGUUUAACUGUUGUUUACUUCAUAGGCAUGCUUUGUGUGGGGAAGAAAAAUACCCGCGAAGGAAGCUUCUCAGAGGGCGACCAGGUGCACAGUUCAGCCAAGUACGAGGCGGCUCUUCCGAGGGGUCCAGCUGCUUGAGAACCCGAGUGUGUGGGAAGCAAACAGCCCUGCGUGGUGCUCCCAGUGUACCUUGUGAUGGCCGCCCACCCACCGGCUGUGCUCCAAGCAGAUACAUGGGGCUACGUGCGUGUGCACAUGUAAAAGUGUCACUGUGUACACACCGGAGUUUCCAUGAGUAGGACAAGAAAAAGAACAAAGAAGCGAAAAGGUGUGAGGGGUGGAGAAAGAAAUGGCAGCAUGCUGAUAGCGAAGCUGAAUGGCGGCCACACGGAGAUUCCUUGUACUCUUCUCUCUGCUUUUGUAUAUAUUUGGAAAUUCCAAACUAAAAAGUUUAAAAAUAUGUGCAGUAUUUAAACCUUUGUGUAAAUGUUUGUCCACACAGUACUCGUUGCACCCUGGUUUUGCUACAAAUUCUGUGCUGGGUGUUUGGGUACAGGGAGAAUUCUCUACUUUCAUGGUGCUCAGAGCUGAUGGGGGACAGGUGUGAAUCUAACAUCACCCAAAUACUGAAUACGAAACAGACAUUCUCUGAAGCACAGAGAGGGGGUAUGAGGAAAACUUUGAAGAGAGGAAACUUGAAGAAUGGGAGGGAGGAUUCCUUCACAGAAGGGUUGACCAAGCCGAGGUCUAAGCAUGACUAGGAACCAACUGAAUGCCAAGAGAAAGGGAGAAGAAAGUUCUAGAAGGUGGGACUCGCCAGGGAUGUGAGGCAAGUCAGGGUGAUGGAGCCCAGAGGGAGGGAGGGGAUGGUGGUUGGGAGGGGCGCCGGGGCAUGUGGCUUGGCCUUGUUGAGGAACUGCCCUUGGUCCUGGGAGCGACGGAUCGCCAGUGAAGAGCUGAAGCAGGACGUAGCUGUGGGUCGACCUCCCCUUCUCAGACACCAUUUUGGCUGCAACACAGAGGGUGAGUGGAGGGCAGGAGUUGACGUGCAGGUGAGACGCUGAGGCUGUCUGUGGUGGAGAUGGAGGUGGGGACAAAGGUGUGUCUAACAGAUAGAAUCUAAGCUGGUGACCGAGUGGCUGCGGGUCAGGGAGAGGGAGGGUCAGCGUGAUGGUGGCAGGCUGUCAUGUGCUGAGAUGGGACACCAGAAGAGAAGGCCUGGAGUGGAGGAGAAGUCCUGCGUUUGGUCUGGUGGAGGUGGAGGGAGAUACUGCUAAGGCAGUUGGUCACAUGGGGUUGGAGCUCAGGGCCGAGAUGUGGCAGAGGAAAGAAGCUGGCAACACCUCACGUGUGCAUGGUGCUGGGAGCCAGAGCUGCUCGGGAGAGACACCGGUGGCAGGAAACCAGGACAGGACAGGAGUGGCCAAGUCCAGCCCAGCUUGGGUAUUUUCCUUUUUAAAAUUAAACAAGUUAUACUUAAGCAUGCUCGUCAUAAAAAUGUUAAACCAUAGCAAACGCAUCCGGGUACAUACCCUUACAGACUCUGGACCGUUAUAUAUAUAUGUACGUACGUCUGUGCACACAUGGCUUUCUAUUUUACCUAAAUUUUACCUAUAUUUUACCUAUUUACCCAUACCACCAACUCAGCAGCUUGUUUGCUUCGCAUUUUUCCCCCUGAUUUUUCUGUAUUAUAAAGUCUCCUCCUAAAACCCUGUCUUCCAGAGGGCAUUGCUGUUAACAUAUUCCUUCAACGUUUUCUCCUGCUGUUAACAUAUUUCUUCAACGUUUUCUCCUGUGCCUAUGUGGUAUCUUAUUAUAUAGAUGCAUCAUUAUGUAUUUAAUUGUUCCUCUCUUGAAGGACACUUAGGUUGUCUACAGAAUUCCUGCUAUUAAAAGCAGUGCUGCAGUGAAGGUCCUUGAGGGCAUGUAUUCAUUUGUGUGCAUUUGGGAGUAUUUGGGUAGGCUGGAGUCCUCCAGGUAGAAUCACUGGGUCAAAGAGCAUGCACAUUUCAGAGUUUUAGCAGAUGUUGCCUGAUUGCCCCAGCAGGCCUAUCCCCCCACAACACACAAACACACGCACUUUAAUCAGCAUUGGAUUUUACCUUUCUGAGUUUUUUCCUAGUCUGUUGGGUGAAAAAGCUCAUUUUAUUGAUACUUUAAUUUACAUUCCAUCUAUUACUUGGAAAUUUAAGCAUCUUCUAAAAUGUUCACUGGCUGCAGUCAAUUUUCAUUAGAAAAUUGUAUCGUUUUCCUAUUUUUCUUUGGGGUUUCUUUCCUGUUUUUAGUUCUUUAUAUGAUACGGGUAUUAAUUCUUAGCAGUUUGAGUCUAAGGAUGCACCCAACUUACCAGCAGUCUGAGAAAUUCCCCUUCUUCUGUAUCACCCCAGCACCCUGUGUCAGUUGUCACCAGGCCCUGCUUGCUCUCCUCUGAAGCUUCUUGACAACACUGUUCUUGGUCCCUUAAAUUUGGGGUACACUACUGAGCAUCCUCUGCAGUGUACACACAGGGUAAGACAACCUGCUCAGGGGCUCAUACCGAGGAUAGAGCCCUGGUCUCUGCUUCUACAGCAGCUUUUGGAUGAUGGGAUGGAGGAUGUCGGGCCCAGGAAGCCUCCCAGGUCAGACUUCACCUGGGCUAUCACGGAUGAGCAUCUCGGGACCCUUCUACACUGCUGUCACAAGCUUCACCCCUGCUUGUGCUGGUGGUUCAGUUUUCCAGGUGACCAAUGGGGAAAAAAGUGACUAUCCACAUGUCAUAAGGAUGUUCAGUUUGAAAAUGCAGGAUGCAGUUCUCAAGAAUGCUCCCAGUGCUCAGUGCUGUGGGCCCUCGGCCAGUUCAUUCAGAUCAGAUGCAGGUUGUGUAGUAUGAUUUCAGGAGUGUGUGAGCCAUUGCUAGAAGCUUCUUAGUGUGGGGUGUUGCGCUUGUUGGUUCCACAGAAGGGAGACCAGGGUUGCAGUGAUUAUCGUGACUGUGUUUGCUCUCUUAAGCUUCUCUGGAGGGUUUUGACAUUCAUUUUCAUUCAUUCACAUCUUAGGGUGCAUAAUUUAAAUCAGGCACGUCCGUCUUAACACCUCAAAGAAACCAGUUUAGUGUGCUUAGAAGUCCCCAGCCAGGGCGCCUGGGUGGCUCAGUUGGUUAAGCAACUGCCUUCGGCUCAGGUCAUGAUCCUGGAGUCCCGGGAUCGAGUCCCACAUCGGGCUCCCUGUUUGGCAGGGAGUCUGCUUCUCCCUCUGACCCUCCUCCCUCUCAUGCUCUCUGUCUCUCAUUCUCUCUGUCUCAAAUAAAUAAAUAAAAUCUUUAAAAAGAAAAAAACUUAAAAAAAAAAAAAAAAGAAGUCCCCAGCCAUCUUAGUUUUGGUAAUUGGCUUCAGAAUAUACUGAGAACCCUGAUUCCCUGGCAUGUCAGAUGCUGUGCUUGGGAAGCCCUGUAGGAAAUAUGAGCAAAGUCAGACAGAUCUGUUGUCCAAGGACUUUCUCUCCAGUUGUAUUCAAGAUAAGACAUAUAAAGACAUAACUGUAUGGAUCUUGUUGCCUCUGCGCACACCUCCUCCUAUGGCCUCCUCAGUGACAGUGACUCUGGCCUAUGUGACCUGCUGCUCCUCCACUCCCACUGGCUGCCUCGGUCCCCAGCAAACUGGCAUGUUCCUGCCUCAGGGCCUUUGCAAUGACUGUCCCUGCUAUCUGGAAUGGGCCCUGUCCCCCACUCACUUCUCCCAGGUCUGCUCAGAUGCUCCUUUCUCAGUCCCUAGCACAGGGCCCGGUGAUCAGUAAGUACAUACUAAGUAUCUGCUGGAAGAAGAAGUGAACGGCUCUAGAAGGAAUGUGGAAAGUGAGGUCCCCACUGGAAGAGUCCCUAGUCUCACUGGGCCUUGGGUUUCUAUCAUCAAGAGGACUGUUUGGCAACUUCAUGCACUUGGCAGUUCUGACAUUACUGGAGUCCAGGAGAAAGGGGGCCCUGAGCAUCAGCCUCUGCCCCCUUGGGCUUCUCAGAGGGUGAACCUGUGCAGGGGGCUGGAGGCCCAGCUCUGUACCCCGGGGAUGGCCUGUGUCACUGCCUUCCUUGGGCUGGUUGCUUGGCACCUAUUGCCUGCCAGGCUACAGAGAGGGCCAGAGCUGGGUUCUUCCUGUCUUCUACCUGGGGCUCCAAGGCCCCAGUCGGGUGGAGUCCCUCUUUAUCCCUUGGGAAAAUGGUAAACUGGGGUUAGGGUGUGGUUAGUGAUUAGUCAAGCACGUGUAAAGGCAGAUGUCCAUGUCUCCUAGAUGAGUCAUUUCUGCUGAGAGGAUCACUCUUUAGUUUUUGUCGAGAGAGCAUUAUUAACAUUUGGAUACUUAGGAAUAUUUAGAUAUUUCCUCCAAGGAGGAAAAAAGGGAUGAAGCUUCUUUUUAAAAACAAAUUUGUUAUAGAAAAAUAUAAAUAUAUGCACAGGCAGAAUAGCAUAUUGACUGCCCAUGAACCAGAGAAUACAGGUUCUCUGACCAUAACAAAAUAUAUGCACAGGCAGAAUAGCAUAUUGACUGCCCAGCCCUAACAUCCCAAUUCACACCCAUCCUGUUUCAUCCAGCCCCGCUGUCCUCACCCCAGAUUAAUUAGAAGCAAACCACAGAUAUGCCAUCCUUAAGUACUUCAGUUUGUAACCAAAAUGAGGCUUCUAGAAAUUAAGCCUGAGGGAGAGAUGAACUGCUAAUUCCCAUAUUCCGCUGGCCCAGUGGGAUGGUGCCCAGCAUUCUGUGUGACCCACCCUGAGUGGGUGUGUGUGCUGUUUGCAUGACAUCCAAAAGAGGCUAGCCUGGCUCUAGCCAUUGCACAGGUGUCUCCAUGGUCAUUUCCUUCCUGUGCUGGUCAGGGACCCCAUCACCAGCUCAAAAACUCUGAGGGGUUUUCCUCUUUUCCAUUUCCUUUCAUGGUUUUGAAACAGGAAGAGCGGUACCUCGAUCUGAUAACUGUUCAUUUACUAUCAGAGUUGGUGCCACAUAUUUAUAAGAAAGAGUGGUCAAAGUCAUGAAUAUCAUUAAUUUGAGGAAUGCUAAUGUUCCAGUUGGAUAGAAAGAAACCGAUUUUGUUUUUAGGUUAUAUACAAGUUGUUUUCUGCCACAUUGCUAAAUGUGGAUUCUUACAUGAGUGAUGGAGAGAAAUGUAACUCUCAUAUUUCUACACAUUGAGUCACUUCAGUGGAAUGUCAAUAAUUGUUAAAAUUUGUGGUGCUGAAUGGAAGAAAAAAUAUGUCUUUGAAUAUGACAUCAUUUUUUUUCUUUCAGCUUCUGAUGUUCAAAAUAAAACAUCUCUCAGUCAGCAAAACCAAGAUAAAAGGUGUUUAAAAAAAAAAACAGAAUGUUACUCAACAACAGAAAACCAAGCAGCCAAACUGAAAAAUAGAUAAAGUAAUUGAACAGGCAUCCCUCCAAAGAAGACAUACAAGUGGCCAAUGAGCACAUGGAAAAUGCUCAACAUCACUAGUCAUUAGGGAAAUGCAAAUCAAAACUAUGAUGAGAUAUCACCUCACACCCCUUUAGAAUAGCUACUAUCAAAACAAAAAAUAACAAGUGUUCAGAGGAUGUGGAGAAGUUGGAACGCUUAUGCAUUGCUGGUGGAAAUGUAAUAUGGUGUGGCCAUGGAAAACAGUUUGGCAGGUCCUUGAAAAGUUAGAUUUAGGAUUACCAUAUGACCCAGCCAUUCCACUCUUGGGUAUGUACUGAAAAUAAUUGAAAGCAGGACUCAAAUAGAUACUCGUACACCCAUGUUUAAUAGCAGCAUCAUUUACAAUAGCCAAAAGGUGGAAACAACCCAAAUAUCCAUCAGCAGAUGAAUGGAUGAGCAAAAUGUGGUUUAUACAUAAGUUGGAAUUCAGCCAUAAAAACGGAAGGAAAUUCUGACACAUGCUACAACAUGGAUGAACCUUGAAUGCAUUAUGCAUUAUGAACUAGAGCAGUCAAAUUCAUAGAGACAGAAAGUAAAAUGGUGGUUGCCAGGGAUGGGGAAGGGGAUGGGGAUUUAUUGUUUAAAGAGUACAGAGCUUCAGUUUGGGAAGAUGAAAAAGUUCUGGAUAUGGACAGUGGUGACAGUUGCUCAACAGUGUGAAUAUAUAUACUUAAUAUCACUGGAUUGUACACUUUAAAAAAUACCAAAAAAGGUAAAGUGAUGGAGUAAGAUAGAUCAUGCAAAUGUGAAUUAUGGGAAUACUGAAGUGCCUAUAUUUCAGAGCAAGGACCAUUACUAGAGAAGAGAGAGAGAGAGAUUUCAUACUGAUAAAGGGGUCAACUCACCAAGAAGACAUAAUUAUCCUAAAUAUAUAUAUUAUAUAUAUACUAAAUAUAUAUAUACCCAAUAGAGAGCCAGCACCACCCGAAUACCGAAACUUGACAAAGAGAAGAAAUCUACAGGCUGGUAUCUCUCAGUAAAUGGAUAUUAAAAUUCUUUCAAAAUUUUAACCAAUUGAAUCCAGCAACACAUAAAAAAGACUAUAAACCAUGGACAAGUGGAGUUUAUCCCAGUAAUGCAAGAUUGAUUUAACAUUUAAAAAUCAACGUAUUUUACUAUAUUAACAGACUAAGAAAAAACCAUGAUCAUCUCAAUAGUUGCAAAAAAAGGGGAGGGGGGAGCGGGCAUUGACAGAACCCAAUACCUGUUCAUGAUUAAAAACAAAACAAAACCUCUCAGCAAACCAAGAAGGGAAGAGAAUUUCCAUAACCUCAUACAGGGCAAAUAUUAAAAACCUAGAGCUAGGGCGCCUGGGUGGCUCAGUUGGUUAAGCGACUGCCUUCGGCUCAGGUCAUGGUCCCGGAGUCCUGGGAUCGAGUCCCGCAUUGGGCUCCCGGCUCGGCGGGGAGCCUACUUCUCCCUCUGACCCUAUCCCCUCUCAUGCUGUUUUUCUCUCUCUCUCUCUCCCUCUCUCUCUCUCUCAAAUAAAUAAAUAAAAUCUUAAAAAAAAAAAAAAAACCUAGAGCUAAUAUCAUAGGACAGAAUGAAAACUUCCUCCUGAAGUCAGUAACAAGACAAGGAUGUCUGUUCUUGCUAUUUUUAUUCAACAUUUUAGUGGCAAUGCUAGCCAGCUGAAUAACGCAAGAAAAAGAAAAGCAUCUAAACUGGAAAGAAGUAAAACUAUCUUUAUUCACAGACAACAUGUCCAUCUUAGAUAGGACAUGAUCAUAUACCAUGAAAACUCCAAGGACUCUACAAAAAAAGCUACUAGGAUUAAUACGUGAAUUAACAUAGUCACAGGAUACAAAAUUAAUAUUCAAGAAUCAGUGUUCAAAUGCUGGCAAUAAGCAAUUGAAAUUGAAAUUUUAAGAAAUACCAUUUACUGGGCGCCUGGGUGGCUCAGUUGGUUAAGCGACUGCCUUCGGCUCAGGUCAUGAUCCUGGAGUCCCGGGAUCGAGUCCCGCAUCGGGCUCCCCGCUCGGCAGGGAGUCUGCUUCUCCCUCUGACCCUCCUCCCUCUCAUGCUCUCUGUAUCUCAUUCUCUCUGUCUCAAAUAAAUAAAUAAAAUCUUAAAAAAAAAAAAAAAGAAAUACCAUUUACAAUACCAUCAAAAACCACAAAACAUUUAGGGAGAAAUAUAACAGAAUGUAUGCAAGAGAGGUAUGCUAAAAAUUACAAAACAUUGCUGAGAGAAAUUUAAAAAGACACAUAAAUAGAAAGAUAUGCCAAGUUCAUGAAUCAGAAAACUUAAUAUUGUUAAAUUUUCCAAGUCGCCCAAUAUUAAUCUGUAGAUUCAAUUCAAUCCCAAAUAAAAAUCCCAGCAGCUUUUAUGUAAAAAAUGUCAAGUUCAUUCUAAAAUGUGGAAAUGCAAAGAACUGAAGCCAAAUUUUUUAAUAGAAACAAUUUUGAAAAUUAAAAACAAAGUUGUAAAACUUACACUAUCUUAUUUCAAAACCCACUACAAAGUUAUAAUUAUCAAGACAGUGUGGUACUGGCAUAAAGGUAGACAUACAGAUCAAUGAAACAGGAUAGAGUCCAGAAAUAAACCCACAGAUACAUUGUUAAUUGAUUUUGACAAAGUUGCCAAGGGAAUUCAAUGGGGGAAAGGAUAGUUUUUUCCAACAAUUGGUGCUGGGACUGUUGGAUAGCCACAUGGGAAGAAAUGAACCUUGAUCCUUAUCUGAUAAAAUAUACCAAAAUUAACCUGAAUUGGACUGUAAACCUAAAUGUAAAAGUUAACAUUAUCAAACUUGAAGAAGAAAACACGGAAGAAGAUAUUUGCCACCUUGGCAGAUUUCUUAGGAAACAAAUAAAUAAAAUCUUUAAAAAAAAAAUGUGUAUCGCAAAACAAUUAAAAAAAAAGCAUAAACCAUAAAGGAAAAAAAAUUGAUUAAUUGAACUUUAUCAAAAUGAAAAACUUCUUUUAAAAGCACCCUUAAGAAAAGGAAAAGAUGAGCCAAAAACUGUAUAUUUGACAAAGGGCUUUAAGCAGAAUACAUAAGGACCUUGUAACACAAAAGUCAGAAGACAAACAAAACUUCAUUACGAAUUAAAAAAUUUGAGCAGAUGUUUUACAGAAGAUAUACCAGUGGCCAAUGGGCACAUGAAAAGAUGUUUAAUAUCUCUCGUUAUAAGGGAAAAUUAAAAUCACAAUGAAGCAGCACUAGACAUCCAUUUGAAUGACCAUAUUUAAAAGGCCGACCAUAUCAAGUGUUGCCAAGGAGAUAUACAUUACUGGUGAGAAUGAAAAAUGGUAUGAUUGGAAAAGCUGGACAGUUUCUUUCAAUAUUUAUGUACUGUUUACAACCCAGCGAUUCCACUGCUAGAAAAUACACAAUAGUAAACAUCUGCGAAGAUUCAUACAGGAAUGUUCACAGCAGUUUUGUCUAAUAAUAGCCCGAAACUGAAAACAAUUUAAAUGUCCACCAACAUGUGAUAAACAAUUGUGGUGUAGCCGUGCAGCGGAAUGCUAAAAGGAAUAAACUACUGAAGAUGCCACAGAUGGAUAAAUCUCACAGAUAUUAUGUUGAAUAAAAGAAGACCAAAAAUUUACAGACGGUGUGGUUCCAUUUAUAGAAAACUCUAGAAAGGACAGAUCUAAUCUGGAGUGACAGGAAACAGGUCAGUGGUUCCCCGGGGCCUGGUGUGGAGGGUGAGGGGACUGACCAGAAAGAGUCACAAGGGAACUUUUUGGGUGAUGGAAAUGUUCUGUCUUGAUUGUAACAGUGGUUACUUACACAGAUAUACACACUUGUCAGAACUCAUUAACUUAAACUAAGUGCACUCUAUUGUAUGUAGAUGAUACCUUAAUAAAGUUGAUUCACAAAAAUCCUUUAUGUAACUAAGGUAAAACAAGAACAACAACAACAACAACUGAUGUACAGUAUACCUACCCUGUGUUUUCUUUCUUUCUUUCUUUUUUGUAAAGAUUUUAUUUAUUUAUUUGACAGAGAGAGAUCACAAGUAGGCAGAGCAGCAAGCAGAGGGAGAGGGAGAAGCAGGCUCCCUA